AUCACAACAAGGUAGGCAAGGGAAGAUCAGAAGCUUGUCCUCAAAAGCAAGUAGUUAAGCAAGUGGACUAACACGAUCAAGUUUUUUGAAAGUGUCAUAUAUGGUGGAGAUAAGUGGAGACUAGAUGAUGAUGACGAUACUCAAGCUAAAAUUUUCAAGAUUGCCAAAGAGAGAUAUAGGGGAUGGAGAGCUGAUUUAUCAGCAACAUAUAAGACAUACAAACAUGACAGGGAGGCUAUCAUCCGAAAUAAGCCUCAGGAGCUCAACAUGGACGCUUGGUAUGAUGUGAUCUCAUACUUCGAGUCAGAUGAUUUUAAGGUAGAUGAUCCAAACUUUCAUCUAUUUAUAUGGUUUGUUUUUAUUAGUAUAUGAUAUCAUAUAUUGUAUUAUUAUACAAUAACUUAAUAAGGUGUGUGACAAAGAUGUUUAUUUUAGACAAUAAGUGAUAGAAAUACUAAAAAUCGAAGCAAGCGAGAGAGCAUCCACUGUACUAGUAGCAAAUCAUUUGCACAAAUCAGCUUUGAAAAUCGUGAUCCAAAAACACAAAAGGAGCCUGACGAUCUUCAAAUGUGGGCAUUGGCCUACUGUCCAAAGGGCCAAUGGGCUCAUGAUACUCCAAAACAUGUAUAUGAGGAAGCAAAAGAAAAAAUUGCUGAAAUGAAAGUGAAUGAAGAUCGAACAUUAUCCAGUAAUGAGCAGGAUACAAUAUUCCAAUCAGUUGUCUCCAUGUUAGGCUCCAAGUUAAGCUCCAAGUCAAGAUAUGUCCUUGGUCGAGGAUACAUGGCAAAGCUUCCAACUUCUACAAAGCGUGUCCGCAAUGAACUUUAUAGUGAAGUUCAAUCUAUGAAGAGUCAAUUAGAUGCAGAACACACUGAGAGUGUAGCUGAACGUGCAGAAAUGGAAGCAAAAUUUGAAGCAGAACAUGCUAAGAGGUUGGCUGAACAUGCAGAAAUGGAAGUACAAUUUCAAAGACUCUGACAGACUAUACGUGAGGAAUUUUUGGCAAUACUAGCUAAUCAAUCUCAGGGUGGAGGCCAAUGAAGUGGUUGUGAAGCAUGCAUGGAUAUCACUUUCUGAAGGGAACUUUUCUUACUUGUUGCGUAUAUAUUUGUGUAUAUUUACUUUUGAAACUGUGUUUGAUUGUAAUUAACUAAACAAGUUAUGUGUAUAUUUGUGUUCUUGGACAUAUCAAUUUGAUGAAGUACUUUGACUUUUGCAUUUA